rnacentral:lncRNA from 1 species
GUGAGGUAGAACCACCAUGGAAAUUUCACUUGGGAGCAGGGUGAACAAGCAAGGUCUAUGGAAGGCAAACUGUAGCAACUAGAUGGUAAGGUUGAUGAGAGAAAAUUUGAGACUCUCUGCUAUAAUUUGCAACAUUGUUUUGCCACCUAAAUGUCGGACACAGCACAUAGGCACUUGCUAAAAUGAAUAGAAAAAAGUGAGGUCCACCAUCAAUUCCAACAUUAAGAACUCGUAUUUUAGUUGGAAAGAAAUGCACAGUUUGGAAUCCUAUGUAAUCAAGAUAAGAGAACAACAAUUUUCCAAAUGCUUUCCGUGGUGGGCCAGCGUGGAAACUUAACUCUCUCACACAGACAGCAAGAUUACACUCUGACACCAAGCCCUGCCCUUGUGGGAAGUAUGAUAAGCCUCAAGGCAAACAAUUCUUCCUUCACAAUUGCAGUCUGGGCACCUGACAACAUAGAAUGACUCAUUGGACUCCUGCCUCUUCUACUUCAUUCUUACCAUGAGCUCCCCUAGAAGAUGUAGUCUUCCACCAUUACCAAAAUCUGCAACCAGAAAGAUCAAGCUCUAGGAAGCAGCACACACUAUACUCCUGUGUGGAAACAAAGUAAUCCUCAUCAGAUCAUCUAACUUGCUGUUGCUGUAAGGACUGUGAAUUGGUAGCAAUAAAUAAGGCAUGGGAAAUAGGAGGGAAAACACCAUCAAUGACAAUAAAAACUGAAUGUGAAAUUUGA